UUCUUUGCCGCACCAGAAACUUCCUUGGUUCUUCUUUCUUUGCUCAUUUGUUUUUUUCUUUCUUUGUUCUUAUCGGUAGCACCUCGUCUCUUCUUUGACUUUCUCAAAGCAACUAGAACAAUCAAGAACUCUCUCCCUCUCAUACCCACAGGUCCAACACCAAAAGAAAGAAAAACUCUCAACUCUCCUCUCCCUCUCACACGUACGGGUCCAACAGCAACAAGAAGUUUCUUUUAAUUCUUCUCAAGCUCUUGUUUCCAACUUGAAGCUAGAGUGAUUCUAGCUUUAUCACUCUAAUAAUCCGUGUCGAGGGUGUUACCAGUACCCAAGUCUAAGCUCCUUCGACUUUAGGCUCUCGAUUCAUCUACUUUCAAGUAAGGGAUAAGUUAUUUGGGUAUUUGGUUAUGUCCUCUGAUAAUCUGAACUCGAUCAAAGUAUGUAUUGAGGAUGGCGAUGCGUCCAUGCUCAAUCAAAGUAUGUACUGAGGAUGGCGAUGUGUUCGCACUCGAUCAAAGUAUGUACAUACAGUAGAAGAAAAUUGUAGGGGCUUUGUCAUUACAAUACAAACUUAUCAGAUAUGGACUAACCAAUAUGUUAUGAACAACUAUAUUAUUUUAUUGAUCAUGAGAGAAUGAUUUUGUUUAAAUGCAUUAUGAGAAGCUGAAAGCUCUUAUAAAAAGAAGUUUCUGAUGAAAAGAAAAGCUAUUCGUUAAAGAUAAACAUUUCUGAAGUUUCUGCUGUUCUUUAAAGAUAAAGUUUCUGAUGAAAGUACAAAUUUCUGACGAAAGUACAAGUUUAUGUUAAUAUUAAAAUGUGACUAUAAAAGUAAUAAUAUUUUAUGAGAAGAAGUUUAUGAAGAAAAGUUUUUUUAUUCUUUAAGAUGUUUCUAAAUUAAGACAAAGUUACCAAUUAUUUGA